CCUCAUGAAACUCUUGGAAGGACCUGUAACUCUAACUUGCCAGGUAAGGCAGCUGAAGUUUGAAGAAGUUAAAUAACUUAUCAAAAGUUUGGACAGAACCUACAAUCAAAACCACGUCCUUUUGAUGCCGAAGUUCAUUUUCUUCCAUGCUACACAGUCUUACAUCAAGACAGCGUGUUGGCUGAUAUCAGACAGAGAAGACUAAAAUCCACAAGGGGAAAUUUAUGGAGGUUUCUGUACAAAAAAAAGAAGAGGAAGAGCAAGGAGGAAAAGGAGGAGAACAGAAAAGAGAGGAAGGAGGAGUAGAAGGAGAGAAAUGACCAUUCUACCUAAAUAAACAACUCUAUCUAAAUCAUGCAUCAGCAGGAGGAUAUUUAUGGCCUCAGCACAUUUCUUUUACUGCAUGCUAGAGACACUUGGCUUUUCCCUCGCAAAUUCAAAUGUCAGUGGAAUGGCUAACUCAUGUGAACAGGCUUUUUUCCCAGGGAGGAGCCAGCCACACAAUAAAAUUUAAAUGGAAAAAAAGCUUCCUGAUGUUUCUCUGCGGUACUUUGAAUCAUGCCAACUGCUAGACCAGAUUAAUUACACAAUUGUAAGAGCAGGAAAUAAACUAAUUGAGGAUAUUAUCCUCCUCUUUCUUUUCGAGAAAUACUGUUUUGUCUUGAUAUGAGUCCUCUCUUUCACCUUGACUUGUUUUGUUAACUCAACCACUUCUCAAACUUUUCAAGAGGGG
rnacentral:lncRNA from 10 species